CCUACGGGUGACAGCAGUGAGGAAUAUUGGUCAAUGGACGCAAGUCUGAACCAGCCAUGCCGCGUGCAGGAAGACGGCUCUAUGAGUUGUAAACUGCUUUUGUACGAGGGUAAACGCAGAUACGCGUAUCUGUCUGAAAGUAUCGUACGAAUAAGGAUCGGCUAACUCCGUGCCAGCAGCCGCGGUAAUACGGAGGAUUCAAGCGUUAUCCGGAUUUAUUGGGUUUAAAGGGUGCGUAGGCGGUCGGAUAAGUUAGAGGUGAAAUCCCGAGGCUCAACUUCGGAAUUGCCUCUGAUACUGUUCGGCUAGAGAGUAGUUGCGGUAGGCGGAAUGUAUGGUGUAGCGGUGAAAUGCUUAGAGAUCAUACAGAACACCGAUUGCGAAGGCAGCUUACCAAGCUACUUCUGACGUUGAGGCACGAAAGCGUGGGGAGCGAACAGGAUUAGAUACCCCUGUAGUC
rnacentral:rRNA from 1 species